CUUUUUUUGCAUUUCCUUCAAAACAAAACUGAUGAACCCUAGCUUUCUCUGCUAGGGUUCCAAAUUUUAGCCGCCGCCGCCGCCGUCGCUCUAAACCCCGAUUUCGGCCUGGCCUCCGAGUGCGAUGGAGGAAUAAGCGUCGGCCUUCAGGUGGAACGCCCUGAAGCGCGGGGCGACGUGCGCGACGUGCGGGGGCUGCUGCGGCGCUGAAGAAGGGAAGCUAGGGUUGUUUUUUUGUUUUUGUUUUUUAGUUCUAGGCUGAUAUGGGUUUGAGAAAAAUUGGAUAAUGGGCCUCAGUUAUUUGGGUUAAUUUUUGGACUGGUGUAAUGAGUAUUUGGUUGGUCUUGUUUUGAGUGGGCCUGGCAAAAUGGGCUACAUCAUUCAGCUUAAGUAGAUUCGUGGCUAUGCUUAUGCCAAAUUCAUUGGUCAAAGUUCAUUAUUAUUUUUCUUAUAUCAGUAGCCACCGUCGUCAGCGACUCGCCUUUCAUCUGAUACCAAAUGCAUCUAUCAACAUCUACAAUCAAGGCUUCUCGAUGGCAUAUGAUGCAAGUCUCGAUGGCAUAUAGCUGGCUCCAAGAUGCAUCUGAUGUGACUAGUGGGAGUAUUUCUAUCAUAUCCACUUGAAUUAGAGGCCAAAAACAAGGCAUGUUAUAAAUAUACAAUGAAGAGGUUUUAACCACGGUAA